CCUUCUCAUGGCUGAUUGUCAGUUCUUCAACAUGUUGUUGUUCUUUCAUUUUGCAUAAAGCUAUUUCAUUUUUCAAUUCUCUUAUUUCUGAGUCCCGGACAGAAAGGGCACAUUGUAAUACAGACAACCUUUCUGAUGCCACUAGAUCUUGGAGACUUUUAACAUCUUGUUCUUUUUCUUCCGUGCUUUCGCAUAGCUGUUGAAUUGUAUCUUCCAUAUUCUCUUCCAUUUGGGCAAAUGUAUUUUCUUUAUCUUUGGCAUUCUUUUGAGAAGACUCAAGCUGUACUUCCAGGUCAUGUGCUUUCUCACGUAGCAUCUCCAAAUGUGCAUUUUGCUCUCUGAUACGGUUCUGAAACAAGGACAUCUGUUGCUGGGCUUCUAAUGCUUCAUUUUUCUCAGGGCUUGUACUCCUCAGCACCUCAUUAACCUCUGUCUCUGUUGCUGUCUGUAGUAGGUUGGCAUCUUCAGCCUUAAAUUCUAGUAGGUUGGAGUCUCCAGUCUUAAUCUUGAGCAGGUUGGAGUCUUCAGCCUUAAACUCUAGUUGUUUUAGCUCUAAGCGUUCCUGCCACUUUACCAGAAACAUUGUAAAAGCCGUAGCCCCUAGGAGAGUUUCCAUAAGCAAUCUAAUAUCGGCAGGAACAAGCUCCUGGUAUUUCAUAAAGGCUGUCAUCUGUCUUUGUACAGCCGAAUUAGUGGCUCCGUAGGCCAUAACACUUUGUUGUAAUUUUGAGACCAAAUUCCAGUCUAAAGGUGUCCAUUCUGCUCCAUUCUGUGUAACCCGUGCUGGAGCAGAUAUUAAUGGUUCUAAAGUAACCUCCCCAUUCAAAUUAGCUUGUGUGAUAACUCCUUUCAAUCUCCGCCCCAUGUCAAAAGAAUUAUCUGUAGGGAUAUAUUCGUUUACUCUUUUAGGGAUAUACCCCUUUGCCCUCUCGAUCCCUUCUCGUCCCCCGGCGUCUAAUUUCUCCUUUUGGUCCAACUGUCUUUCAAUAUUCUUGAUUCCUUCUUUAAUUGCCUCCAUGGCUUUUUUAUACAUUUCUUUCUUUUUACCCGUAUCACCAUCCUUGUCUAAAUUUUUCACAGCUAUCAUUAACCUUGCCAUUUGGUGGCGCUGUUGCCUUAGUUCUUUCACAAGUUCAGCAUAAGGCGAUUCUUUUUGUAGUGCGUCAUCAUCCUCAGACGGCAAAGGUACAUUUUCGGGCAGUACCUCCAUAGGUUCUGGCUCAGGGGGUGCAGAUGGUUGCGUGGGCAACUCAUCUGAGGGGUCCCAGGGGAUAAUUAAGUCAUCAAACUCCCCCUUCUUNNNNNNNNNNNNNNNNNNNNCU
rnacentral:lncRNA from 14 species